GGUUAAGCGACUAAGCGUACACGGUGGAUGCCCUGGCAGUCAGAGGCGAUGAAGGACGUGCUAAUCUGCGAAAAGCGUCGGUAAGGUGAUAUGAACCGUUAUAACCGGCGAUGUCCGAAUGGGGAAACCCAGUGCAAUUCGUUGCACUAUCGUUAACUGAAUACAUAGGUUAACGAGGCGAACCGGGGGAACUGAAACAUCUAAGUACCCCGAGGAAAAGAAAUCAACCGAGAUUCCCCCAGUAGCGGCGAGCGAACGGGGAGCAGCCCAGAGUCUGAAUCAGCUUGUGUGUUAGUGGAACGGUCUGGAAAGUCCGACGGUACAGGGUGAUAGUCCCGUACACCAAAAUGCACAGGUUGUGAACUCGAAGAGUAGGGCGGGACACGUGGUAUCCUGUCUGAAUAUGGGGGGACCAUCCUCCAAGGCUAAAUACUCCUGACUGACCGAUAGUGAACCAGUACCGUGAGGGAAAGGCGAAAAGAACCCCGGCGAGGGGAGUGAAAAAGAACCUGAAACCGUGUACGUACAAGCAGUGGGAGCACCUUUAUGGUGUGACUGCGUACCUUUUGUAUAAUGGGUCAGCGACUUAUAUUCUGUAGCAAGGUUAACCGUAUAGGGGAGCCGCAGGGAAACCGAGUCUUAACUGGGCGUUAAGUUGCAGGGUAUAGACCCGAAACCCGGUGAUCUAGCCAUGGGCAGGUUGAAGGUUGGGUAACACUAACUGGAGGACCGAACCGACUAAUGUUGAAAAAUUAGCGGAUGACUUGUGGCUGGGGGUGAAAGGCCAAUCAAACCGGGAGAUAGCUGGUUCUCCCCGAAAGCUAUUUAGGUAGCGCCUCGUGAACUCAUCUUCGGGGGUAGAGCACUGUUUCGGCUAGGGGGUCAUCCCGACUUACCAACCCGAUGCAAACUACGAAUACCGAAGAAUGUUAUCACGGGAGACACACGGCGGGUGCUAACGUCCGUCGUGAAGAGGGAAACAACCCAGACCGCCAGCUAAGGUCCCAAAGUCAUGGUUAAGUGGGAAACGAUGUGGGAAGGCACAGACAGCCAGGAUGUUGGCUUAGAAGCAGCCAUCAUUUAAAGAAAGCGUAAUAGCUCACUGGUCGAGUCGGCCUGCGCGGAAGAUGUAACGGGGCUAAACCAUGCACCGAAGCUGCGGCAGCGACACUAUGUGUUGUUGGGUAGGGGAGCGUUCUGUAAGCCUGCGAAGGUGACCUGUGAGGGUUGCUGGAGGUAUCAGAAGUGCGAAUGCUGACAUAAGUAACGAUAAAGCGGGUGAAAAGCCCGCUCGCCGGAAGACCAAGGGUUCCUGUCCAACGUUAAUCGGGGCAGGGUGAGUCGACCCCUAAGGCGAGGCCGAAAGGCGUAGUCGAUGGGAAACAGGUUAAUAUUCCUGUACUUGGUGUUACUGCGAAGGGGGGACGGAGAAGGCUAUGUUAGCCGGGCGACGGUUGUCCCGGUUUAAGCAUGUAGGCUGGUUAUCCAGGCAAAUCCGGAUAAUCAAGGCUGAGGUGUGAUGACGAGGCACUACGGUGCUGAAGUAACAAAUGCCCUGCUUCCAGGAAAAGCCUCUAAGCAUCAGGUAACAUCAAAUCGUACCCCAAACCGACACAGGUGGUCAGGUAGAGAAUACCAAGGCGCUUGAGAGAACUCGGGUGAAGGAACUAGGCAAAAUGGUGCCGUAACUUCGGGAGAAGGCACGCUGGUGUGUAGGUGAAGCCCCUGCGGGUGGAGCUGAGACCAGUCGAAGAUACCAGCUGGCUGCAACUGUUUAUUAAAAACACAGCACUGUGCAAACACGAAAGUGGACGUAUACGGUGUGACGCCUGCCCGGUGCCGGAAGGUUAAUUGAUGGGGUUAUCCGUAAGGAGAAGCUCUUGAUCGAAGCCCCGGUAAACGGCGGCCGUAACUAUAACGGUCCUAAGGUAGCGAAAUUCCUUGUCGGGUAAGUUCCGACCUGCACGAAUGGCGUAAUGAUGGCCAGGCUGUCUCCACCCGAGACUCAGUGAAAUUGAACUCGCUGUGAAGAUGCAGUGUACCCGCGGCAAGACGGAAAGACCCCGUGAACCUUUACUAUAGCUUGACACUGAACAUUGAGCCUUGAUGUGUAGGAUAGGUGGGAGGCUUUGAAGCGUGGACGCCAGUCUGCGUGGAGCCAACCUUGAAAUACCACCCUUUAAUGUUUGAUGUUCUAACGUUGGCCCCUGACCGGGGUUGCGGACAGUGUCUGGUGGGUAGUUUGACUGGGGCGGUCUCCUCCCAAAGCGUAACGGAGGAGCACGAAGGUUAGCUAAUCCUGGUCGGACAUCAGGAGGUUAGUGCAAUGGCAUAAGCUAGCUUGACUGCGAGCGUGACGGCGCGAGCAGGUGCGAAAGCAGGUCAUAGUGAUCCGGUGGUUCUGAAUGGAAGGGCCAUCGCUCAACGGAUAAAAGGUACUCCGGGGAUAACAGGCUGAUACCGCCCAAGAGUUCAUAUCGACGGCGGUGUUUGGCACCUCGAUGUCGGCUCAUCACAUCCUGGGGCUGAAGUAGGUCCCAAGGGUAUGGCUGUUCGCCAUUUAAAGUGGUACGCGAGCUGGGUUUAGAACGUCGUGAGACAGUUCGGUCCCUAUCUGCCGUGGGCGCUGGAGAAUUGAGGGGGGCUGCUCCUAGUACGAGAGGACCGGAGUGGACGCAUCACUGGUGUUCGGGUUGUCAUGCCAAUGGCACUGCCCGGUAGCUAAAUGCGGAAGAGAUAAGUGCUGAAAGCAUCUAAGCACGAAACUUGCCCCGAGAUGAGUUCUCCCUGAGACUUUAAGUCUCCUGAAGGAACGUUAAAGACGAUGACGUUGAUAGGCCGGGUGUGUAAGCGCAGCGAUGCGUUGAGCUAACCGGUACUAAUGAACCGUGAGGCUUAACCUU
rnacentral:rRNA from 1 species